CACUUCUCUCCAGCCUCAAGUCACAAGGCCUCCCUAAGGCUUCAGGUGCCCUGCCCCUUGCUCUCUGGAUCUGUCCGAGGAUGUAGGGGUGGGAUGGCACCUGGCGCCAAUGCUGAAAAAACUGCACAAAUUCGAAUCCAGGACUGAGUAAAGCCCACAACAACACUGAGGCAGUCUCAAGGAAAAGAGGAAGAAGAGACUUUCUACGAGUGUCUGUGCCAAGAAACUCGGCUUGCAGAACUGCAAGGGCAGAAUAAGUCAUGUGAAGGGGAGGAGACAUGAAAUGCUAACAUGCAUUGGUUUUGUAAAAGAGACCACUUACUGAGCAUUGACUCUGUGUCAAACUGUGCCAAGCGAUUAAGAGAAUUCAUCUCCUUUCUGUGUUACUCUCUCCUUUUCUCUUUCCCAGUGAAGUAGAGAUUUCACCGUCUCUGUUCCAGAGAGGAAUGUUGAGGAGGUUAUGUAACUUUGCCAACUUGAAUGCUGCUAGCAAACAGAGAGCCAAGACUCAAACUGGCUUCAGCCUGACACACAGCCCACGUUCCUCAAACGACCACCAGCCUUCAAAUAAAUGGGUGGUUUCAUGUCUGAAAGAGGAAGAGGUAACCCUGACCCGAUACCUCCACCCAACAACCCUGGCCAAGACCAGUCCAUGACCUGACGUGGCCCCGAGAUGGACCUGCAGGUAGGGUGAGCACGGCACCCGGGCCUGGGCCAGCAGAGAAUACCAGCCAGGUCAACCGUCUGCUGCCCUGACUCACCCCAGGCUUGUGGUGAGCAUGGCCAGCUGCAGUCAAGUACUCCGCAGGACAUUCUGUGCCACGGCUCCCAGGUAAGAGCCUGCAAGAAAGGGGAGGACCGCCUUUUCCAGCUGUGUCUCUUGUCCUUUAUGGCAAAUAUUUCCUAUCUCUUCCUCCCCAUUAAGGUGAAUCUACGGAACCAAGCAUGUAUGCAUGCAUUCAGUCAUUUAACAAACACUUAUUUAAGCAGCUACUGAAUACCAGGCAGGCUUCCCAGGUGGCUCAGUGGGUAAAGAAGCCACCUGUGAUGCAGGAAAGGUGGGUUUGAUCCCCGGGUUGGGAAGAUUCCUGGAGAAGGGCAAGGCAACCCACUCCAGUAUUCUUGCCUGGAGAAUCCCCAUGGACAGAGGAGCCUGGUGGGCUACAGUCCAAGCGGUCACAGAGUCAGACACGAUUGAAGCAACUAAGCACACAUACCAAUACCAGGCACGGCGCUAGACCCUGGAGGUACAGCCUGAACAAGACAAAUUUUUGCCAACAUGAAGCUCAUGUUUUCAAUGGAGGCGCCAGAUAACAAGCAAAUGAGAUACU
ensembl:lncRNA